GUAGGGGCUGGGUUACCUGCUUGGUGUCUGGAAUGAUACAGAGAAGAUUAGCAUGGCCCCUGUGCAAGGAUGACAUGCAAAUUCGUGAAGUGUCUCUCUCUCUC
ensembl:snRNA U6 U6 spliceosomal RNA